AUUGAACGCUGGCGGCAGGCCUAACACAUGCAAGUCGAACGAGUGGCGGACGGGUGAGUAAUGUCUGGGAAACUGCCUGAUGGAGGGGGAUAAAUACUGGAAACGGUAGCUAAUACAGCAGACCAUCAGAGGUGCGAAGAUGGGAUUAGCUAGUGGGUGGGGUAACGGCUCACCAAGGCGACGAUCCCUAGCUGGUCUGAGAGGAUGACCAGCCACACUGGAACUGAGACACGGUCCAGACUCCUACGGGAGGCAGCAGUGGGGAAUAUUGCACAAUGGGCGCAAGCCUGAUGCAGCCAUGCCGCGUGUAUGAAGAAGGCCUUCGGGUUGUAAAGUACUUUCAGCGGGGAGGCGUUACCCUCCUCAGAAGCACCGGCUAACUCCGUGCCAGCAGCCGCGGUACUUC
rnacentral:rRNA from 1 species